rnacentral:rRNA from 1 species
CACGUAGGGGGCGAGCGUUGUCCGGAAUCAUUGGGCGUAAAGAGCUCGUAGGCGGCUCAGUAAGUCGGGUGUGAAAUCCCUCGGCCCAACCGAGGAACUGCGCCCGAGACUGCUUCUCUUGAGUCCCGGAGAGGAAGAUGGAAUUCCCGGUGUAGCGGUGAAAUGUGUAGAGAUCGGGAGGAACACCGGUGGCGAAGGCGGUCUUCUGGACGGUGACUGACGCUGAGGCGCGAAAGCCAGGGGAGCAAACGGG